ACUCUCGACAACGGAUAUCUCGGCUCUCGCAUCGAUGAAGAACGUAGUGAAAUGCGAUACUUGGUGUGAAUUGCAGAAUCCCGUGAACCAUCGAGUCUUUGAACGCAAGUUGCGCCCGAAGCCGUCAGGCCGAGGGCACGUCUGCCUGGGCGUC
rnacentral:rRNA from 1 species